CAGGUACAUCAUCGGUGCGGGUUCGUUCUGAGAUUAUACGGCGUCAACUUGAUCUGGAUAAUACCAGCGAAAGGAUCAUGACUCUUCCCUUCU
rnacentral:ncRNA from 1 species